CUACGGGCGGCUGCAGUGGGGAAUAUUGCACAAUGGAGGAAACUCUGAUGCAGCAACGCCGCGUGGAGGAUGACGCAUUUCGGUGUGUAAACUCCUUUUAUAUGGGAAGAUAAUGACGGUACCAUAUGAAUAAGCACCGGCUAACUCCGUGCCAGCAGCCGCGGUAAUACGGAGGGUGCAAGCGUUACUCGGAAUCACUGGGCGUAAAGCGCGCGCAGGCGGCUAGAUAAGUUGGAAGUGAAAUCCUAUGGCUCAACCAUAGAACUGCUUCCAAAACUGUUUAGCUAGAGUCUGGGAGGGGAAGAUGGAAUUAGUAGUGUAGGGGUAAAAUCCGUAGAGAUUACUAGGGAUACCAAAAGCGAAGGCGAUCUUCUGGAACAGUACUGACGCUGAGGCGCGAAAGCGUGGGGAGCAAACAGGAUUAGAUACCCCUGUAGUC
rnacentral:rRNA from 1 species